GGGGAUAUAGCCUAGUGGUAGAGAGCUUGUCAAGAAUGCAGAAGGCCCUGGGUUCAAUCACCAGUAUCCCCC
rnacentral:tRNA from 1 species